ensembl:snRNA U6 U6 spliceosomal RNA
GUGCUCUCUUCGACAGCAUGUAUACUAAAAUUGGAAUGAUACAGAGAAGAUUAGCAUGGCCCCUGCACAAGGAUGACACGCAAAUUCAUGAAGCAUUCCAUAUUUAA